AACCUAACCCAUUUCUAUUGCAGGGGUGGUAUGGUCUUAAAUCGCGUAAACAAUACUGAUCCCGUCGUUCAGGUUCGUUUACGCGUCAUGCAGGGAAACUUGUAUGGGACCCUUCAAAAGGUCU
rnacentral:sRNA from 12 species